UGAGUGCGAGCUGCUACGGCAGCGAAGUUGGUGAUGUCAAGCUUCCAAGAAAAGCCCUAUACCCGUUAAGGCAUCAUGGCCUGUACCCGAAACCGACACAGGUGGGGUGGUAGAGAAUACCGAGGGGCGCGAGGUAACUCUCUCUAAGGAACUCGGCAAAAUGGCCCCGUAACUUCGGGAGAAGGGGUGCCAGCGAGAGCUGGUCGCAGUGAAGAGGCCCAGGCGACUGUUUACCAAAAACACAGGUCUCCGCUAAGUCGCAAGACGAUGUAUGGGGGCUGACGCCUGCCCAGUGCCGGAAGGUUAAGGAAGCCGGUUAGCGCAAGCGAAGCUGGCGACUGAAGCCCCGGUGAACGGCGGCCGUAACUAUAACGGUCCUAAGGUAGCGAAAUUCCUUGUCGGGUAAGUUCCGACCCGCACGAAAGGCGUAACGAUCUGGGCGCUGUCUCGGAGAGAGGCUCGGCGAAAUAGAAUUGUCUGUGAAGAUGCGGACUACGUGCACCCGGACAGAAAGACCCUAUGAAGCUUUACUGUAGCUUGGUAUUGUGCUCGGGCUCGGAAUGCGCAGGAUAGGUGGGAGGCUUUGAUCCAUUGCUUGCGGGUGAUGGUGAGCCACUGGUGAGAUACCACUCUUUCCGAGCUAGAGUUCUAACCCUCGCCCGCUAUCCGGGGAGGGGACAGUAUCAGGUGGGCAGUUUGACUGGGGCGGUCGCCUCCUAAAAGGUAACGGAGGCGUGCAAAGGUUCCCUCAGGCUGGUUGGAAAUCAGCCGACGAGUGCAAAGGCAGAAGGGAGCUUGACUGUGAGACCUACAAGUCGAACAGGGACGAAAGUCGGCCUUAGUGAUCCGACGGUUCUGCGUGGAAGGGCCGUCGCUCAACGGAUAAAAGUUACUCUAGGGAUAACAGGCUGAUCUCCCCCAAGAGUUCACAUCGACGGGGAGGUUUGGCACCUCGAUGUCGGCUCAUCGCAACCUGGGGCUGAAGUCGGUCCCAAGGGUUGGGCUGUUCGCCCAUUAAAGCGGUACGCGAGCUGGGUUCAGAACGUCGUGAGACAGUUCGGUCCAUAUCCGGUGCACGCGCAGGAAUAUUGAGAGGAUUUCUCCCUAGUACGAGAGGACCGGGAGGAACGCACCUCUGGUGUGCCAGUUAUCGUGCCAACGGUAAACGCUGGGUAGCCAUGUGCGGAGAGGAUAACCGCUGAAAGCAUCUAAGUGGGAAGCCCACCUCAAGAUGGGUAUUCCCAUGGCAAAAGCCAGUAAGGUCACGGGAAGAUUACCCGUUGAUAGGCUCUACGUGGAAGCGCAGUAAUGCGUGAAGCGGAGGAGUACUAAUAGACC
rnacentral:rRNA from 1 species